ACUGCAUGGUGUGGGCAUUUCCGAAUUAGGUCCUUUAGCCUCUCCCAUGUUUCGUGGAAUAUUUCUCCAUCUAUUUGGAAAAAACUGGUUAUAGCCUUACUAAUCU